rnacentral:lncRNA from 1 species
CAGAGUUGCUGUCGGGAGGUUGUCGCUGCUGUGUGCUGGAGGGCUGCGGAGGUGAUGGGCGGCCCGGGAGGGUUUCUUGGUGUCUCUGUGGAGUCCCUGGGCCAGACCCCAUAGCGAAGGCUGCAGGAUCUUCUCCGGCCCCAGCAGCUCUGGUUGAGUCCACAGACCCUGCCUGGCCUCAGGCUCCUGGGAAGAGCAGAGUUGUCAGCAAGAGAGCCCGAGGGCUGAGGCCCAGCCGGAACAUGCCAGCUAACCAGAAUUCUCCCGGGCCAUCCCUGGCCCUGACUGCAGGGGGACGUGACAACUCCUGUGAGGAGUCUGGAAAGUCUUUAACAAAUAGCAGGUAAAUCUGAACAAGACCAAGGCCGAAAGAAUACUUGCUCAGG